GAUGAACGCUGGCGGCGUGCCUAAUACAUGCAAGUCGAGCGAACGGACGAGAAGCUUGCUUCUCUGAUGUUAGCGGCGGACGGGUGAGUAACACGUGGAUAACCUACCUAUAAGACUGGGAUAACUUCGGGAAACCGUAGCUAAUACCGGAUAAUAUUUUGAACCGCAUGGUUCAAAAGUGAAAGACGGUCUUGCUGUCACUUAUAGAUGGAUCCGCGCUGCAUUAGCUAGUUGGUAAGGUAACGGCUUACCAAGGCAACGAUGCAUAGCCGACCUGAGAGGGUGAACGGCCACACUGGAACUGAGACACGGCCCAGACUCCUACGAGAGGCAGCAGUAGAGAAUCUUCCGCAAUGGGCGAAAGCCUGACAGAGCAACGCCGCGUGAGUGAUGAAGGUCUUCGGAUCGUAAAACUCUGUUAUUAGGGAAGAACAUAUGUGUAAGUAACUGUGCACAUCAUGACGGUACCUAAUCAGAAAGCCACGGCUAACUACGUG
rnacentral:rRNA from 1 species